UGCAGGUUGUGUAGUUUAGUCCACGUGAGAUUCCAAGAGAGUUCACCUUUCUCCAUGGCCUAAUCAUCAGCAUUAGUUUAAUCCCAUUCCUGAGGUGUACCCCUCGUUGGCCGCCCUCAUUCUCCUAGCCAACCCUCCUUUUCUGCCCAUGAGAAGUGGACGUGCCUUUUGUGAGGAGGAGGCCAGUGACGCAGAUGGGGGAGGUGGUGAAGGUGGGACUGGCAGGAGGGGCGAGGUGAUCACCUGAUGGAUUUCCUACAGUGGUAGGCAAGUCUGAUGCUUGGCUGUUGUCUUGGAACAAAGUAAAGGAGCUUGCUUUUUCCUUUUCCUUCUGUUUUCUUUCAACUGUCUGAUCAAAGUGUCAUGCGGCUCCCAUCGAUCGAUUUGUUGAAACAGUUGGUUGGUUGUGUCUUGUGA